rnacentral:lncRNA from 1 species
GAAAGUCCACCGGGUUAGUGUCUAACCCACAGCUAAUAACCACUAAAUCCACAACCUACAAGCAAACCCUUGGGGAUCGGUUUCCCAAACCGAUCGCCGUAAUACGCCGGAAGUCCCGUAAUCGCACGGGGACUCCACCGGGACCCACGAACUGUCCCGGAACACACCGACUCAUACCGUGAGUUACCCGCUGCCACUAAACACCAUUAGUCAUGGGAUUUGGCAGCAAACACAAGGAUACAUAACCAAACAGCAAUCGCCGAAUAAUUGUUCGGAUUCGGGUUCCCGGAAGUGUCAAUUUCGACACCGGAACCCACCGUCGCUCACCCGUCAUUUCCGAACUCUCGAAAUGACGCAAGUGACCAGCCAACAAGGCUCAGCGACUACACAAAAGCUCACGAAGCACCGUCGGAAUAAUUCCGAACCGAACCCGCGUUCCGUCGGCGGAUUUCGCCGAAAAACGCACCGGAAAUGCAUUUCCGAUCUUCGCAAGGGUCUGGGGCCUUGGACAAUCAGUCCAGAGGUUAACCUCAACCAACACUUGCUGCCAACAGUAGCUACAACGAACCAAAAUGCAUAAAAGCCCUCCUGAUGACCCAAAAUCGCAUUAUUUCAUGCGAUUUCGGUGCUUUCAUGGUCCGACAACGCAAACCAGAGGUCAAACAGCCAAGACGAGACUCCUGCUGACUGGUCUCGGUGUGCCGGAGGCCGUGCUCACCUUUCGGAGCACUGCCGGCCACUGUGGAGGACGCAUGAGCGACGCAAACAUCAGUGAAACAGCGCGCACAGCGCCUAAAUCGCGUCUAACACGCAAACCGGAGCAUCUCUGACCUAAAUAGAGGUGGCCACGAUGACCGGCACUGAACAAGGAUCAUCGUGCUCACCUCCAGCAGAUUCGGGGUGGCCUCGGUUCACCAAAACAGUGAUCGGAACCCCAAGACAAGGUACAGGAAGCCAACAACAAACUUACCGGAGCAAGGUGGGGC